rnacentral:rRNA from 1 species
CAGUCGCCGCGGUAAUACGUAGGUGGCAAGCGUUGUCCGGAAUUAUUGGGCGUAAAGGGCUCGCAGGCGGUUUCUUAAGUCUGAUGUGAAAGCCCCCGGCUCAACCGGGGAGGGUCAUUGGAAACUGGGAAACUUGAGUGCAGAAGAGGAGAGUGGAAUUCCACGUGUAGCGGUGAAAUGCGUAGAGAUGUGGAGGAACACCAGUGGCGAAGGCGACUCUCUGGUCUGUAACUGACGCUGAGGAGCGAAAGCGUGGGGAGCGAACAGGAUUAGAUACCCCUGUAGUCCCUGUCUCUUAUAC